rnacentral:lncRNA from 1 species
CUGUGCAAUGGGCUGUGGUAUUCCCUGUGUUUGGGAUACCAACAUGAGUCAUUGGCGAUGGAGACUGUAUUGUACCGCUAGCAUCUCGAUUCAUCAAUACUCGAUCUAAUCUGCCGGCAAAGCAGCUGACCUGUUUUCCUCGACUCCUAUGAGAGUUAAAAUAAUGCAUUCCUAUAUUCUCAAAUGGGCAUUUCUAUGUUCAGAAUUUGGGCCGCUGCAUCUGGCUCCGAUCACUACUUUCCACGUAUCCAAAGAAUAACAUGGCUACAGCUCACAGGAACUCGAAGCCAACAUUACAUUUAGCUUUAAAUCUAUCUCUAAUUUUAUUAUCUAUUAAAUGCAAUUAAGUUCAAAGCGUCUAAAUCCAAACAUAAAUACCAAACCCAUAAUUCUCAAUAUUUAGAAAAUUGUUAACUAAAAAUUCAUAGUGAAUUUAAAAUGCUAAAUUUUUUCUACAAAAUUGCCAAGCUAGCUAGUGCGAACUCAAAGCUUGUACCAUCUUUCAUUCCUAUCGAUCUUAUUUGUCUGAAAAGAGAAAAAUAGAAAUAGAGGUAUGACACAGCUUAGUAAGUAAGUAAACCUUUCGCUAUCUUACCGGAUCAAGCAUAAGUUUUUAUGUGUAUUAAUAAAUUAUUUAAAGAAUAUAACUACCAUAAAAAAAUAUUUAUAAUAACAGUAUAAUCAUAAAUUAAUUAUGCUCAUAUGUAUAAAUCAUGCAAAUUAUAUAAAUACAGCUCUCUAGUAUCGACGCAUAAAUAAAAUCAUAAAUUAUGCUAAUGGACGGUCCUGGCAUCAAGGUAGUUUAAGAACUUUUUUCGAGGGUCAACUCGAGUUCGUAAAUCGGGUCGAUAGAGCCCUAUACCGGGAUCCAUAUAUCUUCUAGAGAUAGAAAGUAGAGAGAGAAGAAAGAAAGGAGAGAGGAGAGAGAAAGGAUAGAGGUUCUCUUCUUCUCCAAAAUGGGGGAGAGCCGAUCUCUCCCUCUCCUCUCGGAUCAGACGGUGACAGCCACCAAGGUGGCCCAACCCCUAGUGAUGAUGGCCAUGAUCGGACCUUCGGCUGCAACAUUAUCGUGAUAGGGGUCGGCCGAAGGAGAAAAAGAAAUCAUCACGAACAAUUCCUUAAUCAACCUUUACUAUGGUUGCUUUCCUCACCCACAACUGCAAGAUUAUGGGCUCCCUAAACUGCGGCGAAGCGCGGCCAGACUUGGUGGCCGACGAUGGCGAACUCGGAAGAAGGGAGCCGAAACGUGGGUCUCCUAUUUCGGAAGGUAUUUUGGCAAUUUGCCGGCUCAAAUACAA